rnacentral:lncRNA from 1 species
AUGGAGGUUCCUAGGCUGGGGGUUGAGUCAGAGCUGCAGCUGCUGGCCUGCACCAUAGCCACAGCAAGACCAGAUCCAGACUGCAUCUGCAACCUAUACCACAGCUCACCGCAACACUGGAUCCUUAACCCACUGAGCGAGGCCAGGGAUCGAACCUACAUCCUCAUGGAUACUAGUUGGGUUCUUAAUCUGCUGAGCCACAACGGGAACGCCCAAAUUCUUCUUCUUUUUUUUUUUUUACAGCCAAAUCCUCUGCAUAUGGAUGGAAACAGGGCACAGGGUGGGAAGGUGGAUUUAGGGGCUGUUCCGCACAGUGAGCGGUUCCAGGAGCUGCCUCGUUCUGGUCCUGCUGUGGAAAAGAACCCGCUGGAUGUUCAUACACGCACCUUCUUACCUGUUACUUGAGGGGCCCCUCACGUCAGGACUCCAAUGCUUGUUCACAGUCUUAGCCAUCUCUUGAAUUGAACGCAGGGACAAUGCUGCAAGCUGUUGGGCAGGAAGUGGCUGGAAUAUGUUUUGCAGACAUCAGAAAUGCCCCGAGGAGAAGGUUAAUGGGUGAGAACAGAAGACGUCUUUUUUGACGACUCAGAUGCCAAACAUAUUUUAUCUGCACCAAAGUCCCUAGAGGUUGUUUUUAUGUGGGUAGUUGUUUUUCAUUAAAGUAGAAAUCUUUUCUCUUUUUCUUUUUUUUUUUUUAAUUUGGAACAUUUUUGCCUUAAAUAUAUUUGUGCCCCAAUGAAACCUCAGGUCAAGCCCCCCUCAAUGCCUGUGGUCCCCCAAUUAUACUGGUUAAUCUUGGUUAUAGACACACCAGGACAAGCAUUACGAAAGGCUUCUUUUUAUUUUCCUUGAGGAUUUUCCUUUGAAAGAAGACAUUCUAUUAAAUUCUAAUGUCUUAAGGAUCCAGGGUUGCCAUGAGCUGUAUAGGAGGGUUCCUUUUCUCCACACCCUUUCCAGCAUUUGUUAUUUAUUGACUUGUUCAUGAUGCCAUCCUGACCAGUGUGUGGUGGUACCUCGUUGUAGUUUUGAUUUGCAUUUCUCUAGUAAUCAGUGAUAACAUAUCUCUUUCCGAGGAAGAGGAGAGGUAUAUGGAUGAUGAUGACUUUACCUUGAACUCCUAGUGAUGUGAUUCACAAACUGCAAUGAGCAAAAUACUCCUCUAGGAAACCUGAUAAAAUUUAUAUUCUCGGUCCUCAUUCUCCAGAGGUUCAGAUCCACUAAGUCUGAGGCCUGGCCUGAGCAUCAGCCUUCAGCAGGUCCCUAAGUGAUUUGAUGUGGGUAUCUGGAGAUCGCCCUUGAACAAAUACCAGUGGACGAGUUCAUUAACCCUGGGGCCCAGGUGUUGUCAGUCCCGAGCCCUCUGGGUGGAAGAAGCAUCGAUCCUGGGCUAGGACUGGUCUUCUCACAAACUCUGGUUUCCUCACCCUAUCUGCAUGGUCAAACUGGAAACGCCGUCUGAUGGUCCUAGAAAGUACUCACCCCAACUUUCCUGUCCCUCAUCUGUAUAACACAACUAGCAUGGUGCUGGGCCCAUAGCCAAUACAGUCAAAUUCUUUUUGAUCUCAGUUGAACAGCGCUAUUGCAACCAGUUGUCUUUUCACUGCUCUCAGAACAUGGAGACAACUGUCAGUGCUCAGAAGCCUAAAGAGAGGAUGCAUGAUGAUUCAAACAGAACAAAGAGAGAGCUCCCGUUGUGACUUCGGGGGUUAAGAGCCAACUAGGAUCCAUGAGGAUGCGUGUUUGAUUCCUGGCCUCGCUCAGUGGGUUAAGGAUGUGGCAUUGCCGUGGGCUGUGGUGUAGGCUGGCAGCUAUAGCUCUGAUUUGAUCCCUAGCCUGGGAACUUCCAUAUCCCACAGGUGAGCCCCCCCC